UACGUAGGGGGCUAGCGUUGUCCGGAAUCAUUGGGCGUAAAGCGCGUGUAGGCGGCCCGAUAAGUCCGCUGUGAAAGUCCAGGGCUCAACCCUGGGAUGCCGGUGGAUACUGUCGGGCUCGAGUCCGGAAGAGGCGAGUGGAAUUCCUGGUGUAGCGGUGAAAUGCGCAGAUAUCAGGAGGAACACCAAUGGCGAAGGCAGCUCGCUGGGACGGUACUGACGCUGAGACGCGAAAGCGUGGGGGAGCAAACAGG
rnacentral:rRNA from 1 species